UACAGAGGGUGCGAGCGUUGUCCGGAAUCACUGGGCGUAAAGGGCGCGUAGGCGGUGGCUUAAGCGUGCGGUGAAAGCUCGGGGCUCAACCCCGAGUCGGCCGUGCGAACUGGGCUCACUGGAGCAUAGUAGAGGCAGGUGGAAUUCCGGGUGUAGCGGUGGAAUGCGUAGAGAUCCGGAAGAACACCGGUGGCGAAGGCGGCCUGCUGGGCUAUGGCUGACACUGAGGCGCGGACAGCGUGGGGAGCAAACAGGG
rnacentral:rRNA from 1 species